GGGCCCGCACAAGCGGUGGAGCAUGUGGUUUAAUUCGAUGAUACGCGAGGAACCUUACCAGGGCUUAAAUGCAGAACGACAGGGGUGGAAACACCCUCUUCUUCGGACGGUCUGCAAGGUGCUGCAUGGUUGUCGUCAGCUCGUGCUGUGAAGUGUCGGGUUAAGUCCCAUAACGAGCGCAACCCCUAUUUCUAGUUGCCAGCGGUUCGGCCGGGGACUCUAGAAAACUGCCAGCGUAAGCUGUGAGGAAGGUGGGGAUGACGUCAAAUCAUCACGGCCCUUACGUCCUGGGCUACACACGUGCUACAAUGGUAGGGACAGAGAGUUGCCAACCCGCGAGGGUGAGCUAAUCUUCAAACCCUAUCUCAGUUCGGAUUGGGGUCUGCAACUCGACCCCAUG
rnacentral:rRNA from 1 species